rnacentral:rRNA from 1 species
GACGAACGCUGGCGGCGUGCUUAACACAUGCAAGUCGAACGGAAAGGCCCUGCUUUUGUGGGGUGCUCGAGUGGCGAACGGGUGAGUAACACGUGAGUAACAUGCCCUUGACUUUGGGAUAACUUCAGGAAACUGGGGCUAAUAUCGGAUAGGAGCUCCUGCUGCAUGGUGGGGGUUGGAAAGUUUCGGCGGUUGGGGAUGGACUCGCGGCUUAUCAGCUUGUUGGUGGGGUAGUGGCUUACCAAGGCUUUGACGGGUAGCCGGCCUGAGAGGGUGACCGGCCACAUGGGGACUGAGAUACGGCGCAGACUCCUACGGGAGGCAGCAGUGGGGAAUAUUGCACAAUGGGCGGAAGCCUGAUGCAGCAACGCCGCGUGCGGGAUGACGGCCUUCGGGUUGUAAACCGCUGUCGCCUGUGACGAAGCGUGAGUGACGGUAAUGGGUAAAGAAGCACCGGCUAACUACGUG